GUUCCAAGAUGAGGGUUCCCACAGGGUCAACCUGGUAAGGCCCGUGGUAGACGACCACGUUGAUAGGCCGGAGGUGUACGCACGGCAACGUGUUCAGCCGACCGGUACUAAUCGGCCGAGGGCUUGGGACAU
rnacentral:rRNA from 1 species